rnacentral:rRNA from 1 species
AGUGAAUAGAUACCCGGGUAGUCCUAGCCGUAAACGAUACUCGCUAGGUGUCGGCCACGGUGCGACCGUUGUCGGUGCCGUAGGGAAAGCCGUGAAGCGAGCCACCUGGGAAGUACGGCCGCAAGGCUGAAACUUAAAGGAAUUGGCGGGGGAGCACCACAACGGGUGGAGCUUGCGGUUUAAUUGGAUUCAACGCCGGAAAUCUUACCGGGACCGACAGCGAUAUGAAGGCCAGGCUGAAGACUUUGCCGGAUUAGCUGAGAGGUGGUGCAUGGCCGUCGUCAGUUCGUACUGUGAAAGCAUCCUGUUAAGUCAGGCAACGAGCGAGACCCACGCCCACAGUUGCCAGCGUACUCUCCGGAGUGACGGGUACACUGUGGGGACCGCCGCUGCUAAAGCGGAGGAAGGAAUGGGCAACGGUAGGUCAGUAUGCCCCGAAUAUCCCGGGCUACACGCGAGCUACAAUGGUUGGAACAAUGGGUAUCUACCCCGAAAGGGGAUGGAAAUCUCCUAAAUCCAAUCUUAGUUCGGAUUGAGGGCUGCAACUCGCCCUC